AGACCGAUAGCGAACAAGUAGAGUGAUCGAAAGAUGAAAAGCACUUUGGAAAGAGAGUUAAAAAGUACGUGAAAUUGUUGAAAGGGAAGCGCUUGCAACCAGACUUGUCCGCAGUUGCUCAGCCGGUCUCCUGACCGGCGUACUCUUCUGCGGCCAGGCCAGCAUCAGUUCGGGCGGUCGGAUAAAGACCUCGGGAAUGUAGCUCCUCUCGGGGAGUGUUAUAGCCCGGGGUGGAAUGCGGCCAGCCUGGACUGAGGAUCUCGCUUCGGCAAGGAUGCUGGCGUAAUGGUUGUAAGCGGCCCGUCUUGAAACACGGACCAAG
rnacentral:rRNA from 1 species